rnacentral:rRNA from 1 species
CUUGACACUGAACAUUGAGCCUUGAUGUGUAGGAUAGGUGGGAGGCUUUGAAGUGUGGACGCCAGUCUGCAUGGAGCCGACCUUGAAAUACCACCCUUUAAUGUUUGAUGUUCUAACGUGGACCCGUGAUCCGGGUUGCGGACAGUGUCUGGUGGGUAGUUUGACUGGGGCGGUCUCCUCCUAAAGAGUAACGGAGGAGCACGAAGGUUGGCUAAUCCUGGUCGGACAUCAGGAGGUUAGUGCAAUGGCAUAAGCCAGCUUGACUGCGAGCGUGACGGCGCGAGCAGGUGCGAAAGCAGGUCAUAGUGAUCCGGUGGUUCUGAAUGGAAGGGCCAUCGCUCAACGGAUAAAAGGUACUCCGGGGAUAACAGGCUGAUACCGCCCAAGAGUUCAUAUCGACGGCGGUGUUUGGCACCUCGAUGUCGGCUCAUCACAUCCUGGGGCUGAAGUAGGUCCCAAGGGUAUGGCUGUUCGCCAUUUAAAGUGGUACGCGAGCUGGGUUUAGAACGUCGUGAGACAGUUCGGUCCCUAUCUGCCGUGGGCGCUGGAGAAUUGAGGGGGGCUGCUCCUAGUACGAGAGGACCGGAGUGGACGCAUCACUGGUGUUCGGGUUGUCAUGCCAAUGGCACUGCCCGGUAGCUAAAUGCGGAAGAGAUAAGUGCUGAAAGCAUCUAAGCACGAAACUUGCCCCGAGAUGAGUUCUCCCUGACCCUUUAAGGGUCCUGAAGGAACGUUGAAGACGACGACGUUGAUAGGCCGGGUGUGUAAGCGCAGCGAUGCGUUGAGCUAACCGGUACUAAUGAACCGUGAGGCUUAACCUU